rnacentral:misc_RNA from 1 species
AUGAUGCAGAGGAGAAGCAGAUGGCAAAUCGGUUGGUGGAGAUGUGGUUAAGCGACCUCAGAGACUUGGCGUAUGAUCUAGAGGACAUCGUUGAUGAACUUGACACGAAGGUUCAGCGAUGCAUGUUAGAACCCAAACUUGUUCGUUCAAAUAAGGUGCAAAAAUUCUUUUCUGUUAUACGUGAUGGGUUGAAUCUGGAUACUGUUAAGUUCAAUUCCAAGAUGGUCUCCAAGAUAGAGAAAGCUAGUGCCAGAUUAGAUGCGAUCAUUAAACAAAAAGAUGACCUACGUUUAGGAGAGUCCAUGGGAAGGAGGGUCAGCCUUGUGAGAGAAAGACCACCUUCAACCUCUUUGGUGAAUGAAGCAAAGAUUUAUGGUAGGGAGGAAGAUAAGA